UACGUAGGCAGCAAGCGUUGUUCGGAGUUACUGGGCGUAAAGAGUGCGUAGGCGGUGUCGCAAGUUCUGUGUGAAAUCUCCCGCUUAACUGGGAGGGUGCGCCGAAAACUGCGAUGCUGGAGUGUGGGAAAGGCAAGCGGAAUUCCUGGUGUAGCGGUGAAAUGCGUAGAUAUCAGGAGGAACACCGGCGGUGUAGACGGCUUGCUAGACCAUAACUGACGCUGAGGCACGAAAGCGUGGGUAGCAAACAGG
rnacentral:rRNA from 1 species